ensembl:lncRNA
GGAGACAGAGCAUCAAGGAAAGCUUCCUGGAGGAGAAGACAUGUGAACUGAUCUCCAAGGGAUGAGUGCAUAUUAUCCAAGAAGAGACCAAAAGCCUUUUCCAGCUUUCAAGUUCCCUGCGUUCUAGCUCUGUCUCUCUCCUCUCUCUUUGCUCCAGUGCCAUGGGCAUUCUUAGCUUCUUCGCUGUCCUUCAUGCCUAGGGCCAUCUGGAAUGCUCUUCCCUGUGUCUGGAGUUUCCCUCUAUGCCAGGCUGAUUCUUCUCCAUCCUUCAAACCUCAACUCACAUGUUAGUUUCUCAAGGAAGCCUUCCUUAGGCCCCUUCCGUGUGCUCCUCAGCAUCCUACACUUAGCCUUCAUUGCAUUCAUCAACAUUUUAAUUAAUAAUGAGUUGUGUAAUUGGUUGUUCACUCUCUGUUUUCCCUGCAAAAACACAAGCUCCACAAAAGCAGGCCCCAUGUGUGUCUUUUUAGACUCUCUCUGAGCACCUGGCAUAGGGGGAUACCCAGGGUAGAUUUUCAAUGGCUACUUGGUGGUGCAACAGCCUGGACAGGAGAUGAUGCGAAACUGAAGGAGGGCAGUGGGAGUAGGGAAGGGGGAGAGCCUGGAGAGAACGAUAAGAUGCGCGUUGGGAGGGCCAGGUCACACGUGUGAUGGGGAGGAGGGAAGGAGAAGUGAACAUGACUCGUGGAUUCACUGUCUCACUUAUCACUUUGGCUUGCUAAUUGUCAAAAAGCAGUGCCUUAUAUCUCUCUGUACUAUUUCAUUUAAAACACACUCCACAGCAAUUUAGUUACUGCUUUUUUGAUGUUUCAAAUGGAGAUUUGAGAGUUGUACGUACAGCUAUAUAUUAAAAGGUAUUUUGGUCAAGAACUUAAAUCUCAAGUGAAGUUGUCCAUCUUUGAAGGAGCAACUUGUCACUUCGUAGAUGGUGUCUCCAAGUUUUCACAGCCUAACUGAUGGUCCUGGAAGGCAUUUCAGUAAAUGUUUAUGUAAUUAGAGCAAUAUACCAAAUAUGAGGCAUAUCUCCUUAAGCGAAAGAGAUCUGGCUUGCCUUUCAGAGCCUUAGCAUCCACGCUGUGCUUUAUGGUGCCUCCUCGAAAAUUAGGAAGAGGCACCCGCCCUGGAUGGACCCAGCCUUGACUCCCGCCCUUGGCCAGGCGCCUGUGUGCAAGUUACAACCUGCUUAAACCUGUGCUAGUGUCCACAACUGUUGUCCGAAGUGUAACAGAAACAAAUAUGGUAGCAGGAAGCCCAGCACCCACUCACAGACACUUGUCACAACUUGAAUCCUCAGCAGUAUGUGCAAGACAAUGUCUCAGGAAGCCGACAAGAGAGCAGUGCCUAGAGCCACCGGCCCUGCCUCACUAAGACAGAAGGGGUUCCAACUCCACCUGCUGCCCCCAGUGCCUUCCUGGAAGCAGAGGAAGAAAUGGAAAAAAGAACAGGUGUAGGAAGAAAAGGGACAUGCCUUAGAGGGAAAAAUGUCUAUAAAAACUCUUCUUAUUACAACAAUGCAUAGUGGAGAAUAUUCGCAACAGAGGGAAAUGUGUAGGAGAGACGUACCUUUUGAAAUGCCCUGUAUCACAAAACUGGCCUUGAAUGCUUGAACUUGGAGAAACAGACAGGCAUCUCUGACAUUGGUGUAGUUCAGUUUUCCUCGACGGUCUUGGGUAAUAACAGGAUCCAAUAACUUGUACUUUCUCCUUUCUGAUGAAAAGACUUGAGCCCUUUGUCACUUGGCUAUUUUGGGAGCCCCAGGGGUACAUAAUCAAGUCUGGUUGGAAAACUGAGGCGAUGAAAAGUCUCCAAACUGGCUGAUGGUACAUCCGAGAUCCUUCAGGCCUGUGUACUCCUCAUACUGGGAAACAACGCCCAAGAAGCCAAGAGUGGAAACUUUAAAACCAUCUAUCCAGUAUUUAUUCCAUGUUCUUUUCUUUAGAAUUAAAGAUCUACAAAAUAUGAGAAUAAGCUAUAGAGCUUCAAGCGCCAAAUCCUUCUUGUGGCAAAACACAAAACUACAAAAUGAGUGAGUCAGCUCCCAGAGGCACUGGUCCCUGCCUCCGCCAGGACAGAAGCCCUCCUGGGCCACCGCGGUCAAUGGACAUUUCUCUUUCACAAGAACGCUCUUGGUGAAGGUACCUCUCUGGCCAGCACCCUGAUGGAGCGAAAACCUAAAAACAGAAAUCAGAAACUAUUGAACAAAGUGACCCCAAAUUUGUUUAAAGGCAACUAACUUGUGAUGCUCUCUGAUCCAAAAUAACAACUCCUGAAAUAAUUGCUAAUGUGUUUAAUGAGGUUGCAACGUUGGGUGGUCCAAAGUAGAGCCUAUGGAUGAGAAGAGAUGCAAGCAUCACCAUCAACACCAGCCCACAUGUAAGGGGCCCAGACAGCAGGUAAGGCUCUGAAGGAGACACGGAGCUCUAAGAAGCCCAGGUCGGAGGUCUUGCCCAUGAGAAGCUUACAUCUACUGAGUGGUCAAGGCACACACACAGUAAGAAAACGUCAUGCAGAAUCAACGUCCACCGAGUAUUAGAAGAAACAAAUCUUCAUCCACUCUGUUUCGGGAACAAAUUCUUUCGUCUUCCAGUUUGCUUCCUACCCUUUUCUUCAUUUUGCCUGAAUGUUCUGACCUUUGUGCUUAUUUAGCUUUGCUGAAUUACAUGCAUCUUAUUCAGCCACUUUAUUUCUUUUAGAGACAAGGUGGAGGAACUGUCAAAGGAAUAGGAGCAGUGCUGAGCCAGGAUACAAACAGCUCAUCAGUCAGGUUCUGUAAAAUCCCCACUCCGGCUCAGGUCAAGCCCUAACGCUCUCAUCUGCUGCCAGGAAGUCAUCCCUCACCAGCAUCAGAGCCCUCAGCGGCAUCAUAACCACUGGGUAAACAUUAAUCCCGUUGCUUAAAAUUCAGUUCCGAAGAACUACAUUAAGACCGCAACAGAGUUCUUUACACAAAAAAUAAACCAGGCAUCUCAAAACAUUUAAAACCAAACAGACGAUAAUGUUGCAACAUGACGGUUUGGACAUUUUCUGGGUCUAAUUUGCUUCUGAUUCACUGUUCCACGUUUUCUGAAAGGAUGUGUAUUUCUGUGCUGCAUGCGGCCUCCACGCUGUCCACAGCUCAACAGCAAACCAAAGACCUCACUCGCUCCCUCGUCCCCAGCCUACUAAAAUAGCGCCGUCUAAUCAGGUACCUCUCUGCAGGAAACAGGCCUUCCUACGCAGGAAGCACAGGAAAGAGGACUGGAGACAGCAGUCCCGCGGCUUUUCUGCCAAAAAGGACAAAAUGGCUCUUCUGGCAACUCCUGACUCAGGAAAUCACUGAAUUAAGUAGUCAGUCUGCAGAGUAAUUUAGCAUGUCAUCCGCUUCCUGGCAACAGUUAUUUGGAAGCAUUUAUAUUUUAAUUCAACUCUGUCAUCAUUGGGGUUAGAACUUCUUCUCUCAGGGGACCUCAAGAUCAGAGAUUUUCCUGCAGUUUCUACAGAGCCACUGCUUUUAGCUCUUCCUCCCUCUUUCCAGGCCACAGCAGCCUGGCCUCCCCUUUGACUGCCGUCUAGGUCAAGCUAACCCUUGUCUUCAGAGCUAAAUAUAAGUUGCAAGGCGGUGGGGGAGGCUCCUGCAGUGGUGUCCCUGGAAAAUGCACUUGUGAGUGUGCAGAAGAAUGAGGAUGCGACCGCACGCCCAGGAGCUGCAGCAUCGUCCGUGCUCUCUCGGGGACAGGGAACCGGACGAGAGGUCAGUAACGUGGGUUCCCCUUCUGGCCUCGUCAUGGACCUUCUGUGUAAUGCUGCACAAAUAAUUUUCCUCUCUGCUCCUCCACUUCUCCAUUUUUGGAGUGAACUUGACCAGUGCCAUCAUCUUCUUCAUUUGCAGACGUUAGAGACAGGCGAUGCCAUAAACCAUAAAUACCCUGCAUAUCACAAACAGCCCUCCCCAUGCACACAGUAGGAUCAGUUAACACAUGUUGUGGGGAAUAAGAAUCCUGCAUGUGGAUGAGCAGUUUCUUACAGCUGGUGAACACACGAACCCACAAAGUACCUAAAAGGAAAUCACAUAAAAUAUAAGCAGCAGGACCAUGUAAUUCUUACUAUACACAUAUAUUUGUGAUCUUUACCACUUGGGGAGAACGAUGGCUAAAUC